ensembl:lncRNA
AAAAGAUACUAUGUUAAAGAGGAACCACGUCUCUCACACCAUACACAGGGAUAAUACACCCAAACUCAUCAAUACAAUGCCUUUGAAUAGGACUUGGCCUUCCUCAGAGAAUAUUCAUUUUCUACAUGGUGCUGCUCUUUUCAAAAUUCUUCUAUGAUUCCAUAUACACCAAAACAGGCAUUCCCUAUUAAAUCUUCCUACCUUCAGUGUCAUGCUUCUAUGUUGUUUUGGUGGUUUCUGUUUCCUGCCUGGACCCUGACUGAUACAGGUACCAGGCUAGUUGGUUUCUGGUACUAUUUCUCAUCAAUAAGACUGGGAGCUCCCAGAGCAGCUGCAAAGAAGCUCAUUUCCAUCACCAGGAAGCCAACAGCAAUUACUGUGUCAGUACUACCAACAAAUCUGGUCUCAUGCAUUCUUCCAACCAAUGUGAAUCCAAGUGAAUAAAGCCUCCAGAAAAAUUAACCUCUGAAAAAGAGAGGUAAUCCAAUGCCAGGACACAUGUGCUCCCUGGGAUAAAACUGAAAUAUCUACAAAAACAAAAUAAGAAGAAGCCAUUUUAAUGCCUAGAGGAAGAAAAUACAGAAUAUGUGGACUGUGUGUGACCUUUGAGUAAGCCAGUGAUGCUCCAAGUACCCAUUCACAAUGAGAUCAGGAACCUGUGAUGGAAUAGAAACUAACACACUACUUUCUUCUAUGAGCAAGUCUUGCUACCAAAAUAAAUAAACAAAUACAUAAAUCAGAUGAAUUGAAAAGCAUGCUUAAUGGCUAAAUUAAUUUACAUCCUGAUGCAAACUGGUUGCAAACAGUUGGCCAACCAGAGACCACACUAUGGGUAGCACUGAAAUCCGCAUACACCAAAAAUAAAUGGAAGGAGGAAGGUUUACAGAGUGAGUCAGUCAGGGUUCAAUGUAGGAAACAGAACUCACUGUAGACAUUUAAAGCAGAAAAAGAUUUAAAACAGAGAAUUUAGUGCAGACAGAAAUGGUGGAAGGAAGAAUAAUGUGCAACAAGUCCAGAAGCCGCCACUUAGCCAAUUUGAAGAACUUCCAUCAUAACUACAAUCCAGAGAUCAGAGAGUUAGAAUUGCUGUCACGACCACCACUACCUUUUAACAUUUAUGGAUCUAGUGACUAGACAGAGGAACACUGAGUCUGGUCAAUUCAAUGGCUUCUAAAUCUUCAUGAGCUUGCUUGCCAGCUGAAAAUGACCUCCACCUCUGCCCUCCCUAUAUGCCCAUAUUUGUUUGGUACAUCUCCUUAAAGGGUAUUCAUUGGGAUCCACACCUUUGGGUUGAAAUAAGUUCUGCUUUGUGUAUGUUCAUUCUGGAGUCCAGAAUGAAAAAGUGGUGGCUGUUCAUGGAAUGUCCGAGUCGUGGUGAUGAAGCCAAACACAAGCACAUAUAAGGCUCCUGCUCACAUCAUAUCUUCUAGCAUCUCAAUGUCCAAUGCAAGUCACAUGGCAAAGCCCAUUUUCAAAGAUCUACAUUCUAUCCCCAAUAGAAAAGCACGGUAAUACUACACAGCAAAUGGUAUCAAUAUACUGUCACAGGAAAUGAAGAAUUGGUACCAAUAUCCCAAUCUUCAACAACUUUCAAAGUCUUUUUCAAUGCUACAGUUUCAUAUUCUAUAAUUCUCUGAUACAUAUUCAUAACAAUGUAUGAACUCCCUCAAUACCUAGUUAUCCACUUUCUGUCCUCCAUCAACUCCCCCAAAAGACCAUAGAUAACCAAUCUCUACCAAACUUAUCCAUUUUUAGCCCCUUCAAUCUCAAAGGAAGUGCUGUUACUCUCUCUAACCAUGGCCCAUUCCCAGGCUGUGUUCUAAAAUUUCCCCCAAAGUCUCAGAGACUUUAAUUCUACUCUAUUACUUCUUUUCUCCUAAAUCUUCACCCUGGCUUCUUUCCCAAUCAAACAUCUAUAACAAAUGCUACAAUCAAACAUGUGACCUUUGAUCUUAAAAAUAAAUGGUCUCCUAUGACAUUACAUCUCCCUUAGCAAGCCUCUUCUUCCUCAUAUUCACUUUUCCUAAAAGGGUAUAUUUAUUCACAACUUCUAUUUCCUCUUCUUUCACUUAUUCUGCAGCACUCUGAAAUCUGGCCAAAAACAACAACAAGAAGUCAUAUUUGCCAAGUUUACUGCUUAUCAUCAGAGGGUUUGGUGAGGCACGAUGAACAGCACGCUCUUUCCCUGAUUUCUGCAUCAAAAGAGAAAGAAAAAAAAAGAAUGAAGCUUUCUCUAUUAGUCUGUUUGCAUGGCUAUAAAGGAAUAUCUGAGGCUGGGAAGUUUAUAAAGAAAGGGGGUUUAUUUGGCUAGCGGUUCUGCAGGCUGUACAAGAAGCAUAGUGCCGGCAUCUGCUUCUGCUGAAGUCCUUGGGAAGCUUACAAUCAUAGUAGAAGGUGAAGAGAAAUCAACGUGUCACAUGAUGAGAAAGGAAGCAAGGGAGAGAAAAGGAGGUGCCAGACUCCUUUAAACAACCAGCUUUUGUGUGAACUACCAGAGCUGAACUGCCAGAGCAGGAACUCAGUCAUUACUAUGGGGAUGGCAAUGAAGACAUUCAUGAAGGAUACACUUCCAUGACCCAAACGCCUACCACUAGGCCUACCUCCCACACUAGAGCUCACAUUUCAACAUGAGAUUUGGAGAGAAAACAUCCAAACCAUAUUACCAACACUGAAGAAAUGUGGCUUAGAUGUGAGAGCCAAAUGAGCUUAUUAACUCUCUACACUCUUGGAUCCAAG